GCUUGCUUCAGCAGCACACAGUAAAAUUGGAACGAUACAGAGAAGAUUAGAUGGCCCCUGUGUGAGGAUGACAUGCAAAUUCAUGCAGUGUUCCAUAUCUUU
ensembl:snRNA U6 U6 spliceosomal RNA